CUGGCUCAGGAUGAACGCUAGCUACAGGCUUAACACAUGCAAGUCGAGGGGCGAGCGGGGAUCUAGCUUGCUAGAUUGCCGGCGACCGGCGCACGGGUGAGUAACGCGUAUCCAACCUCCCCUUAGUAGGGCAUAGCCCGUAGAAAUGCGGAUUAAUACCCUAUGUUAUUCGUCGAGGACAUCUGAAGUGAAUCAAAGGUUUACCGCUAAGGGAUGGGGAUGCGUCUGAUUAGGCAGCAGGCGGGGUAACGGCCCACCUGGCCUACGAUCAGUAGGGGUUCUGAGAGGAAGGUCCCCCACAUUGGAACUGAGACACGGUCCAAACUCCUACGGGAGGCAGCAGUGAGGAAUAUUGGUCAAUGGGCGAGAGCCUGAACCAGCCAAGUAGCGUGCAAGGAUGACGGCCCUAUGGGUUGUAAACUGCUUUUAUGCGGGGAUAAAGUGCGGCACGCGUGCCGUUUUGUAGGUACCGCAUGAAUAAGGACCGGCUAAUUCCGUGCCAGCAGCUGC
rnacentral:rRNA from 1 species